CCUUCGGGGAGGCAGCAGUAGGGAAUUUUCCACAAUGGACGCAAGUCUGAUGGAGCAACGCCGCGUGAGUGAAGAAGGGUUUCGGCUCGUAAAGCUCUGUUGUUAAAGAAGAACGUGUCUGAGAGUAACUGUUCACGCAUUGACGGUAUUUAACCAGAAAGCCACGGCUAACUACGUGCCAGCAGCCGCGGUAAUACGUAGGUGGCAAGCGUUGUCCGGAUUUAUUGGGCGUAAAGCGAGCGCAGGCGGUUUUUUAAGUCUGAUGUGAAAGCCUUCGGCUCAACCGAAGAAGUGCAUUGGAAACUGGGAAACUUGAGUGCAGAAGAGGACAGUGGAACUCCAUGUGUAGCGGUGAAAUGCGUAGAUAUAUGGAAGAACACCAGUGGCGAAGGCGGCUGUCUGGUCUGUAACUGACGCUGAGGCUCGAAAGUAUGGGUAGCGAACAGGAUUAGAUACCCUGGUAGUCCAUGCCGUAAACGAUGAUUGCUAAGUGUUGGAGGGUUUCCGCCCUUCAGUGCUGCAGCUAACGCAUUAAGUAUUCCGCCUGGGGAGUACGGCCGCAAGGUUGAAACUCAAAGAAUUUUGACGG
rnacentral:rRNA from 1 species